UUCUUCCAUGGCUCAGUGGCUGAGCAUCACAUCUCUCACGGGGAACAACACCACUAGCCCCGUGAUGGUGAACAUUGCCUCUUUCAUUCUCUUCUUUUGAUAACUGAGAAAGAAUAAACCUCUGUCCUUGGAUAAUGGAGAUACAGGAUGAGGGAGGAGGCAGCAGCAAAAUUUUCAGCCUUGCUCAACUUCUUUGCUCUCUCUGUGGUCACCUCUGGGGGUCAGUUCAGAGUGAUAUGGAUGCUGUGAACUGCCUUCUGGAGAAUCCAUCUCCAAAGGGAGCCUGGAGACAUCAGCUUCAUGUCCCUCACAUUAGCUUUUGAGAAUAUCAGUACUUGGCUGUAACCCAGGGCACAGGGCUGUGAUGGCUGUGUGAGGCAUCAUCCACUACAGCAUACAGGAUGGAAAGUCCUUGACCAUGGAGCCACCCAUCUGCUGUUUCCUCCCCAUGGACAUAAGUUAUCACAAAGCAGGAGCAGCAGCAGGACCACACCAAAAACAACGUACAAGCCAUGGCCAGCACAGGCAGAAGCCCUAAGUGCUGUUGGCAGUGCACAGCUACAUCCCUCUUUGAGACCAUGGUGCAGGUAAAGACUUGGAAGGCUGUAUAAAAUAAGAGGGAAAGAGAGAGAGCACGUAUUCUUUAUGCUCCAGAAGAGAAGCAAAGUAUUAACUUGACUCCAACUUCAGGUAGUUCUGAUAACCCAGGAGAAGGCACUUCUUUGCCAGUGAUCCUGCAACAGGAACAUGCUCUGAAGGACUGUGUCAGACACCAAUGGAUGUGCCCAUGACUAACUAGAGAAUAGCCAUUGCUCCUAGACUAGCUUAGCAAUUGC
ensembl:lncRNA